UGGGGAAUAUUGCGCAAUGGGGGAAACCCUGACGCAGCAACGCCGCGUGAAGGAUGAAGGUUUUCGGAUUGUAAACUUCUUUAAACCGGGACGAAAAAUGACGGUACCGGUGGAAUAAGCCACGGCUAACUACGUGCCAGCAGCCGCGGUAAUACGUAGGUGGCAAGCGUUGUCCGGAUUUACUGGGUGUAAAGGGCGUGUAGGCGGGUAUAUAAGUCAGAUGUGAAAUACCGAAGCUUAACUUCGGGGCUGCAUUUGAAACUGUAUAUCUUGAGUGCAGGAGAGGAAAGCGGAAUUCCUAGUGUAGCAGUGAAAUGCGUAGAUAUUAGGAGGAACACCAGUGGCGAAGGCGGCUUUCUGGACUGUAACUGACGCUGAGGCGCGAAAGCGUGGGGAGCAA
rnacentral:rRNA from 1 species